rnacentral:rRNA from 1 species
UGGGGAAUUUUGGACAAUGGGCGCAAGCCUGAUCCAGCCAUGCCGCGUGCGGGAAGAAGGCCUUCGGGUUGUAAACCGCUUUUGUCAGGGAAGAAAAGCUUCAAGCUAAUAUCUUGGGGUGAUGACGGUACCUGAAGAAUAAGCACCGGCUAACUACGUGCCAGCAGCCGCGGUAAUACGUAGGGUGCAAGCGUUAAUCGGAAUUACUGGGCGUAAAGCGUGCGCAGGCGGUUGUGCAAGACAGGUGUGA